AUUGAACGCUGGCGGCAUGCUUUACACAUGCAAGUCGAACGGCAGCGCGGGCUUCGGCCUGGCGGCGAGUGGCGAACGGGUGAGUAAUACAUCGGAACGUGCCCAGUAGUGGGGGAUAGCUCGGCGAAAGCCGGAUUAAUACCGCAUACGACCUGAGGGUGAAAGCGGGGGAUCUUCGGACCUCGCGCUAUUGGAGCGGCCGAUGGCAGAUUAGCUAGUUGGUGGGGUAAAGGCCUACCAAGGCGUCGAUCUGUAGCUGGUCUGAGAGGACGACCAGCCACACUGGGACUGAGACACGGCCCAGACUCCUACGGGAGGCAGCAGUGGGGAAUUUUGGACAAUGGGCGAAAGCCUGAUCCAGCAAUGCCGCGUGUGUGAUGAAGGCCUUCGGGUUGUAAAGCACUUUUGGCGGGAACGAAAAGGACUGUGCCAAUACCACGGUUCGAUGACGGUACCCGCAGAAUAAGCACCGGCUAACUACGUG
rnacentral:rRNA from 1 species